GACGUAGGGUGCAAGCGUUGUCCGGAUUUACUGGGCGUAAAGCGCUCGUAGGCGGCUCGUUAAGUGUGAAGUGAAAUCUCCAGUGCUCAACACGGAAACUGCUUUACAUACUGGCGGGCUUGAGGGACGAAGAGGUAGAUGGAAUUCCUGGUGUAGCGGUGAAAUGCGUUGAUAUCAGGAGGAACACCGAUGGCGAAGGCAGUCUACUGGUCGUUUCCUGACGCUGAGGAGCGAAAGCGUGGGUAGCAAA
rnacentral:rRNA from 1 species